GCAGCCUGAUCCAGCCAUACCGCGUGGGUGAAGAAGGCCUUCGGGUUGUAAAGCCCUUUUGUUGGGAAAGAAAAGCAGUCGGCUAAUACCCGGUUGUUCUGACGGUACCCAAAGAAUAAGCACCGGCUAACUUCGUGCCAGCAGCCGCGGUAAUACGAAGGGUGCAAGCGUUACUCGGAAUUACUGGGCGUAAAGCGUGCGUAGGUGGUUGUUUAAGUCUGUUGUGAAAGCCCUGGGCUCAACCUGGGAAUUGCAGUGGAUACUGGGCGACUAGAGUGUGGUAGAGGGUAGUGGAAUUCCCGGUGUAGCAGUGAAAUGCGUAGAGAUCGGGAGGAACAUCCAUGGCGAAGGCAGCUACCUGGACCAACACUGACACUGAGGCACGAAAGCGUGGGGAGCAAACAGGAUUAGAUACCCUGGUAGUCCACGCCCUAAACGAUGCGAACUGGAUGUUGGGUGCAAUUUGGCACGCAGUAUCGAAGCUAACGCGUUAAGUUCGCCGCCUGGGGAGUACGGUCGCAAGACUGAAACUCAAAGGAAUUGACGGGGGCCCGCACAAGCGGUGGAGUAUGUGGUUUAAUUCGAUGCAACGCGAAGAACCUUACCUGGUCUUGACAUGUCGAGAACUCUCCAGA
rnacentral:rRNA from 1 species